GAUGAACGCUGGCGGCGUGCCUAAUACAUGCAAGUCGAGCGCACAGACGAGGAGCUUGCUCCUUUGACGUUAGCGGCGGACGGGUGAGUAACACGUGGGUAACCUACCUAUAAGACUGGGAUAACUUCGGGAAACCGGAGCUAAUACCGGAUAAUAUUUCGAACCGCAUGGUUCGAUAGUGAAAGAUGGCUCUGCUAUCACUUAUAGAUGGACCUGCGCCGUAUUAGCUAGUUGGUAAGGUAACGGCUUACCAAGGCAACGAUACGUAGCCGACCUGAGAGGGUGAUCGGCCACACUGGAACUGAGACACGGUCCAGACUCCUACGGGAGGCAGCAGUAGGGAAUCUUCCGCAAAGGGCGAAAGCCUGACGGAGCAACGCCGCGUGAGUGAUGAAGGUCUUCGGAUCGUAAAACUCUGUUAUUAGGGAAGAACAAACGUGUAAGUAACUGUGCACGUCUUGACGGUACCUAAUCAGAAAGCCACGGCUAACUACGUG
rnacentral:rRNA from 1 species